rnacentral:rRNA from 1 species
AUUGAACGCUGGCGGCAGGCCUAACACAUGCAAGUCGCACGAGUGGCGGACGGGUGAGUAAUGUCUGGGAAACUGCCCGAUGGAGGGGGAUAACUACUGGAAACGGUAGCUAAUACCGCAUACCAUCGGAUGUGCCCAGAUGGGAUGAGCGAGUAGGUGGGGUAACGGCUCACCUAGGCGACUAUCCCUAGCUGGUCUGAGAGGGUGACCAGCCACACUGGAAAGGAGACACGGGCCAGACCCCUAAGGGAGGCAGCAGGGGGGAAUAUUGCACAAUGGGCGCAAGCCUGAUGCAGCCAGUCCGCGUGUAUGAAGAAGGCCUUCGGGUUGUAAAUGACUUUCAGCGAGGAGGAGUUACUCGCAGAAGAAGCACCGGCUAACUCCGUGCCAGCAGCCGCGGUAAUAC